GCUCCGGUCGUCUAGCCCGGUCAAGGAUACGAGCCUCUCGAGCUCGGGACGCGGGUUCAAAUCCCGCCCGGAGCA
rnacentral:tRNA from 1 species